rnacentral:rRNA from 1 species
CAGCAGCCGCGGUAAUACAGAGGAUGCAAGCGUUAUCCGGAAUGAUUGGGCAUAAAGUGUCUGUAGGUGGCUUUUCAAGUCCGCCGUCAAAUCCCAGGGCCCAACCGUGGACAGGCGGUGGAAACUACCAAGCUGGAGUAUGGUAGGGGCAGAGGGAAUUUCCGGUGGAGCGGUGAAAUGCGUUGAGAUCGGAAAGAACACCAACAGUGAAAUCACUCUGCUAGGCCGACACUGACACUGAGAGACGAAAUCUAGGGGAGCAAAUGGGAUUAGAUACCCCCGUAGUCCCUGUCUCUUAUAC